GAAGAGAAUAUCUACCCAUAACCUUCAAGUCGGUAUCCUCGUCUAAUCCACUAUAGCCUCCUAUCUGAACUAUUCAAUAGCCUAAUUGGUUUCUCUGGUUCUUCUCUUGCUAUUCUACAAUGUACUGUCCAUUCAGCAGUCAGGAUGAAUCCCUUAAAUGUGAAUCCAAUGUUUCUUACCUGCUCAAAACACUCCAGUGUCUUCUCAUCACACUCAGAAUAAAACUAAAAUUCCCUACAUGGCCGACUAGGUCAAGUAUAAUAUAUCCUCUAACUGUAUCACUCUGACUGUAUCACUUGAAACUCUCCUGCUCUCCUAUUCAGCUCUAGCCAUACUCAUUGUAUUUCUGCUUCUGGAAAUACCUCAUGUCUUUAUCAGAGGCUUUGUACUCACUACUUCCUCUGCCUAGAAUAUUUCCCUCUUCAGAUAGCUUUAUAUGCUCCGUCCAUUCAAUCAUAUAAACAGUGAAAUGCCAGCUCCUCUAAAGGGCUCUUCCUCAGCAACCAAUCUAAAAUAGUCUCCUUAAAUUGCUUACACUAUUCUGUGUAGACCUUUCCCUCACUUCGUCUUCAUAGCAUUUACGGCUACAUUAGAAAUGUGUUAAUGUUGUUCUCUCUCUCAAAAGUGUAAGCUCAAUUAAGUAGCUUCCCCAUAAAUCCCAAGGGAAUGCUUGCCCGUAGUGAUGACAAUUUAGUGAACAGUUGAAUAAGUUAAUGAAUAAAUUGAUACCAUGUACCAAUGUAUAUAAGUAGUAAGAUGGAUCAUUUAUCCCAAACCCACUAGACUUCCACAUAAUUGUGACUUCAUUUGAAUUUUUUCUUAGGCUUAAUUUAUUAAAGAUUCUUGUGGACCAGGUGCAGUGGCUCAAACCUGUAAUCCCAGCACUUUGGGAGGCCGAGGCGGGUGGAUCACGAGGUCAGGAGAUCGAGACCAUCCUGGCUAACACAGUGAAACCCCGUCUCUACUAAAAAUACUAAAAAUUAGCCAGGCGUGGUGGCGGGCGCCUGUAGUCCCAGCUACUUGGGAGGCUGAGGCAGGAGAAUGGCGUGAACCCGGGAGGCGGAGGUUGCAGUGAGCCGAGAUCACGCCACUGCACUCCAGCCUGGGCGACACAGCAAGACUCUGUCAC
rnacentral:lncRNA from 10 species